GAAUGGUGAUGGCACACAUUUCGGUUACGAGUUGCUCAGUGAGCUGUGGAUCGACGGAACUUUAAGCAUCCCUGUCGUGAUGUACGCCUCGAAGCCCCUUCACUAUUAGCACCUGUGGUCUGAUCAGAGGCCAAAUAAAUGACAUUCAGAAUUUCCACUAAGGUACUAUAAGCUUUCGUGGUGACAUGGCACCUGUUUUCUUUCUACAAGAGAAAUUCAGCACACAGCAGAGUCCUUGAUAAAUUGGAUUGGUUUGAUGAUCCUACCUGGAAUAGGUAUGUAAAAUGUCCAGAGGCCUUGAUAAAUUG